rnacentral:lncRNA from 1 species
AUGGCUCCCCCGCUGAAGGGGAGCGGGGCAGAGGCAGGAAGGAGGCGGGGGCGGCCGCGCACACCCCCACCGCAGCCGCCCUCGGCGGGGCCAGGCGGAGCCGAGCCCGCGGUCCCCCCGCCCCGUUUCCCCGCGGGGCAGAGGCGGGGCCGCGGCCGUUGGGGCCGUUGGCGCUGCCCGGAGCCGCUGCGGGACGGGCGCCCGGCGGCAGAGCGGCUUAACACUGUGGUCCUGGGUUUUAAAAGCAUCAUGGACAAAUUUCAGGAGUCAGCAACUGGCCUCGUCAGUAGAUUUGGCACUUAUGCCUGGAGUAGCCGACUGCACUAAGCCCGCUGCAUAAUCAGACAUUCCCAUCUAUCUUCAUCUGCAGGUAAAAAGUUGUGACAAAUUUCAGACACGAGUUUUACUCCUCCCUCUUGAAAGUGCUUGUACAUAAAGCAUACCAAGAACCCUAGAGUUUAAAGAAUUUCCUAAGUGCAUGUGUAUACAGACAUCACUUCCCACUUUCUUCCUAAGGUUAGAAAUCUGAGCAAGCUCUCAGCUCCUGUUCUGUGAAAUGUUUGCUUUCUCAAAAAGGUUGUGUUCUGGAGCAUGCCUUUCAGAAUGCAUUGGUAUUAUUUUUCAUACUGCUUUUAGUUUCUAGUCCUCUGUUCUAUGGUGUAAUUAAGUUGGUGAAGCAAGCAGGGAAAAUGCAUUCUUGUAAUGUGUUCUGCAGUCUGUGAACGGAACAGAGUUAAAUAUAUCUCUGCAUUUGUUGUAUUAUUGAAUAAAUUCCUUUCAGUGGGGCA